AAGUCGUAACAAGGUUUCCGUAGGUGAACCUGCGGAAGGAUCAUUGCUAAUAUUAAAUCCGCCCGUUUUCGCGCGCUGAUUUAAAGGGGUAGCGCCCACAAAAACACACCCUUUUGUGCACUGCUGGACCGAUGACGUGUCAUCAGUAAUUUCGGGCGCAGAUUUUAUCUUCUGGGCCCAAAGGACUGUGACAUGUCCCACAUCGAAACUCCCAAUUGAAACCAAUUGUCUGAAGUGAUAUCUGGUCCAUGGGCCAGAGAUAUUUUGACUAAUAACAAAAUACAACUUUCAACAAUGGAUCUCUUGGCUCUC
rnacentral:misc_RNA from 1 species